GGUGAACCUGCGGAAGGAUCAUUACAGUAUUCUAUUGCCAGCGCUUAAUUGCGCGGCGAUAAACCUUCUACACACAUUGUUUAUUCUUUUUGAAUAUUGCUUUGGGUGAGAGUAAUCUUGCCCAAAGGUCUUAAACACAAAGAUUUAUUAUCUUUUUUUACAAACUAUAGUCAUGAAAAUUUUUAACAAAAUUAAAAUAUUCAAAACUUUCAACAACGGAUCUCUUGGUUCUCGCAACGAUGAAGAACGCAGCGAAUUGCGAUAAGUAUUGUGAAUUGCAGAUUUUCGUGAAUCAUCGAAUCUUUGAACGCACAUUGCACCCUCUGGUAUUCCAGAGGGUAUGCCUGUUUGAGCGUCAUUUCUCUCUCAAACCUUCGGGUUUGGUAUUGAGUGAUACUCUUUAAACUGGGUUAACUUGAAAUAUUUGGCAAGAGUGUGCUUCAGUGCGCUUAAGUGUUGACAUAAUGUAUUAGGUUCUACCAACUCGUUAUAUCUCAUUUUUGAACACAGCUAGCAUGUUUGGCUCGGCCUAUAUAAUAUUCUCACAAAGUUUGACCUCAAAUCAGGUAGGACUACCCGCUGAA
rnacentral:rRNA from 1 species